UAUUUGUACCGGAAGCAAAAAGUAAUUUGUUUCGUCAGGUCGAUAGUUGGUGUUUGAACGAAAGUUUAAGUGUACUGUGUGUGCAUCAACCCAAUUGGGAAAAAGCUGAAAGGCUUUUUUUCUUUAUGGU
rnacentral:sRNA from 17 species